UGGACUCUCGACAAUGGAUUUCUUGGCUCUCGCAUCAAUUUAGAACGUAGCAAAAUAUGAUACUUAGUGUGAAUUGCAAAAUCCCAUGAACCAUUGAGUCUUUGAAUGCAAGUUGUGUCCGAAGCCAUUAGGCCAAGGGCAAGUCUACCUAGGCAUCAUGCAUCGCAUCGCCCCCCUCGCAUAGUGCCUUAGUCGUGGGGUACACUGUCAUUAUAGGGUGGAUAUUGGCCUCCCAUGCACCUCGAGCUUGUGGAUGGCCUAAAUGCGAGUCCAUAUAAACGAACAUUGCGAAAAGUCGCGAUUAUAACUCAACUCUUUUUAUUAUCGCAGCUACAACUUGUUGUGCAUCCAGACUCCAGUACCCUAUCGCGCUUAGGCUUUCCGACCGCGGUCCCAGGUCAGGUAAGAUUACCCAAGGAGUUUAAGCAUAUCAAUAAGUGGAGAAAAAAAACUUACAAGGAUUCCCUAAGUAAUAGUGAGCGAAUCAGGAAUAACCCAGCCAUAGAAUCAGGCAUCUCUGUCAACCGAAUUGUAGUCUGAAGAUGCAUCUUCAAUGGCAGACCAGGCCCAAGUCCCUUGGAAGGGGGAGCCAGAGAGGGUGGGAGCCCCAUUGUACUCAGACCCUAUCACACCAUGAGGUGCUAUCUAUGAGUUGGAUUGUUUGGAAAUCCAACCCAAAUCAGGCGGUGAAUUCUGUCCAAGACUAAAUACGGGUGAAAGAUCGAUAGUAAACAAGUACUGAGAGUGAAAGAUGAAAAGGACUUUGAAAAGAGAGUCAAAUAGUGCUUAAAAUUAUUAGGAGGGAAAUAGAUAGGGGCCAGCGAUGCAUCCUAGUCAGAUGUAAAACGGUGAUAAGCUGAUCCACCGAUCGACUCAGGGCAUGGACCAGCGUGGAUUGGGGGAGGCUAAAGCUUGGGUUUUCAAUACGUUUAUGGAAUACCGUCUACUUGAUUGUGGUAGGUAGUGCAUGCCUUUGUCAUGCUUCGACAUCUACGCACUCCAGAUGCUGGCUUGUGGGCUUCCCAUUUGACCCGUAUUAAAACAUGGACCAAUUAGUCUGAUAUAUGUGUGAAUCAAUGGGUGAGUAAACCCGUAAGGCAUAAGAAAGCUGAUCGGUGGGAUCCCUCUGAGAGGUACACCACUGACCGACCUUGAUCAUCUGAGAAGGGUUCGAGUGUGAGCAUACUUGUGGGGACUCAAAAGAUGGUGAACAAUGCCUGAGCGGGGUAAAGCUAGAGAAAACUCUGGCAGAGGCCCGCAACAAUACUGGCAUACAAAUUGUUCAUCUUACUUGGGUAUUGGGGCGAAAGACCAAUCGAACUGUCUAGUAGCUAUUUCCCUAUGAAGUUUUCCACAGGAUAGAUGGAGCUCGCACGCGAGUUCUAUCGAGUAAAGAAAAUGAUUAGAGGCCUCGGGGGCUCAACUCUCUCGACCUCUUCUAAAACUUUAAAUUGGUAAGAUAGCAUGACUGCUUUGUUGAGCUGUGCCAUGAAAUCGAGAGCUCCAAGUAAGCCAUUUUUGGUAAGAAGAACAUGCGAUGUGGGAUGAACCAAAAGUCGAGUUAUGGUGCCAAACUAUGCGUUAACCUAGAUCUCAGAAAGGGUGUUGGUCAAUUAAGAUAGCCGAACGAUGGUCAUAGAAGUCAAAAUUUGCUAAGGUGUGUGUAAUAACUCAACUUCCAAAUCAACUAGCCCGAAAAAUGGAUGGCACUUAAGCACGCAACCUACACCCUAUCGUUGAGGCAAGUGUCAGGCCCUGAUGAGUCUGAGGGUGCGACAGUCACUGAAAGAUCUUGGGUGUAAUCCCGAGCAAAGUAGCCUUCGGUGCAGAUAUUAGUGGUAGUAGCAAAUAUUCAAAUAAGAACUGUAAAGGUCGAAGAGGGGAAAGGUUCCAUGUGAAUGACACUUGACAUUGGUUACUCGAUCCUAUAAUGUAACACCUUGAUUUUCUGAACCAAAAUGCUACACGGUGCUCAUGACCCCGAAGGAACACAAACUAACCCAUGACUGCUAUAUGUACCUGUAUACUGCAUAAUAUAUAUAAAAUAUGGAAACAUGAACAUGAAAGGCCAUAACGUUCAAACUGAAUAAACGCCUGAUAACAAAAUGUCUGAAAAAGGUAUAACAAUAUCAAAAUAAGUCAUAAAUACUAAAAAUAAUGAGAUCUGAAUAUCUAAUCUGAAAUCUAGUCUGAAAGCCUCUAACUGAACUGAAUAAGGAGUUGAAGGAACAUGUCUCCAACUAACUCCAUCUAGCAACUGAAUAGUAAAUGUAGCAAUAAUUAUAUCAUCCUCGAAUGAGAAGGACUCACUGCAAACUCUGAACACUGGAAUGCUACUACUGAUCUGGAGCUCAUUCCUCUGAACCUAUGGUGUAACAUAAGAGAAAGUACCAUAGCGCAAAUAUGUCAGUACGUCUGAAUGUACUGAGUAUACAGGUGAGGUAGGCUAAAUACAAAGGGCUAUAUGCAUGAACAAUGUUAACUAAUAUGAACGUGAAAAUACAUACAUACAUAAACAACUAUAACUAAACUCGUGAUGAUGCUGACUACUAAUUUUGAAUACUGACGACAUGACUUUACUGUUACUGAGGUACUGAGUAGAUUAUUGACUAUUUAUGACAGUUUAAAUGAUGAAGAACUGGUUUGAAUGACUGUGUCUAAUAGUAUUGAAAUUAAAUACUGGUAAUGUGAGCUAUGACAAUUGAUAUAGCUGAUAUAACUGUAAUGAUCGGACUAAUCAAUAUAACCGAUAUUGAGCAACUGUAUAUGAUAGUCUAAGUUUUGAUGGAACUAUCUGAGUCUUGUUCUACUUGGAGUAACUAAAUCUGAGAUCAGUCCUAUCUAGCGGCUGAUCAUGAGUAUACUGAUAAUAAGGAUGAUUUGACUUAGUCUGACAUCAGUCCUAUCUAGCUGGUGAUCUUUAAAUCUAAUAAUUCUAAUACUGAUUAAUCAUAGUUGAUAUCAUACCUAGCUAAUGGGUGAUCUUGAAGUCUAUUUAUAAUGAUAAACAUUAGCUGUAUCUAACAGUACUGAAUCUGUACUACUAAGCUGAGUUGACUGUGUCUGAAAGCCCUAAUUCUGUAACUAAAAUUGUGGGAUGUGUUCAUAUAACCGACAUGCCCCAAGCUAAGCUGACUGGGGUCCAAUCUCUGCCCUGGCUGGAAGGGUGUCAGUACCGCGCCGCCAGUAAAGACAUCUGCUAUGGAGUCAGUUCUAAUCUAGCGAGUGACUCCUGGGAUCAUUCCUAUACAUAUAAAUAUGCUAACGGGUGA
rnacentral:rRNA from 1 species